CUUCCUGUUUAACAAAAACAUGUCUUUUUGAUUAUAAUAUAAAGUCUGGCCUGCCCACUGAGUUGUUGAAGGGCCGCAGUAUUCUGACUGUGCAAAGGUAGCAUAAUCAUUUGCCUCUUAAUUAGAGGCUAGAAUGAAUGGUUAAACGAAAUACAAACUGUCUCACUUUUAAAAUUUUAAUAAUUUAGCUUUCUAGUUAAAAGGCUGGAAUUUGAUUGGAGGACGAGAAGACCCUAUAGAACUUUAUAUAAUUUUUUUUUAUCAAGAUUAGUAAUAUAUUUUUGCUAAAUUUAAUUUAUAUUUUGUUGGGGUGACAGGAAAAUUUAUUAAACUUUUUUAAUUUUAUAACAUUGAUUUAUGAAUAUUUGAUCCAUUAUUAUUGAUUAUUAGAAUAAGUUACCUUAGGGAUAACAGCGUAAUUUUGUUGGAGAGUUCUUAUCGAUAACAAGGUUUGCGACCUCGAUGUUGAAUUAAAGAAAUUUUAGAGCGCAGAAGUUUUAAGA
rnacentral:rRNA from 1 species